UUCUGAUCAAUCGACCUAUUGGUGUCUAAGAUAAGUUAAUGAGACAUGAUUAUUUAAUUGGUUUUGUGAGCCGAUCUGACCAAUUCAUUGGUAUCUAAGGAAGGCAACGGGAGGACCCCUACCGUUCUCCACUUACCUGGUCAAUUUAGAAGAUUGAAUCUUGAAUUAGGUUGCUUAGCAAUCUGGUUUAGCCCAUGCCAGUUAGAUCAGUCAUAUGAUGAUCGAUUAGAUGAGAUCUAAAUCCAAACCUUUUCAUAAAUAUUAAGUCCAUAGGUCUUCUAUCGUUGUAGAUGUGCGGGCGUGCUACUGGUGUUAAUUAUUCUCGAC
rnacentral:lncRNA from 1 species